CACGAACCGUACGAACGUUAUUCGGAAUUACUGGGCUUAAAGGGUUUGUAGGCGGCCUUGUAAGUCAGGUGUGAAAGCCCUCGGCUCAACCGAGGAACAGCGCUUGAUACUGCAAGGCUUGAGGGAGACAGGGGUGAAGCGGAACUGAUGGUGGAGCGGUGAAAUGCGUUGAUAUCAUCAGGAACACCGGUGGCGAAAAGCGGCUUACUGGGUCUCUUCUGACGCUGAGGAACGAAAGCUAGGGUAGCGAACGGG
rnacentral:rRNA from 1 species